AGGAUUUAGCAGAUGCAAAACAAAAUACCUUUGCAUUUCACGUGUGUUUAUACUGUUUUCAAGUUUCAUUCUGGCUAUUCUGUAAAUUCUGUAAAAAAAAAAGAUGUUGUUAAUGUAUUAUUUAAACGAAAAGGGUGAACGUGUAUAUACACUAAAUAAAUUUGAUCCAAAUGGAAAACCUACAUUUUCUGCGCAUCCUGCUCGUUUUUCUCCAGCAGAUGGAUAUAGUAAAUACAGAAUUAUAAUAAAAAAGAGAUUUAAAUUGUUGCCAACACAGCAGUUGAAGCCUGCAUGUUAAAGAAAACUUGUCAGUAAUACAAUAUGUUAUGUAAUGUAAAAAAUUUUUUAAAAAUGCAAUUUUUGUUUUUUUAAGAUACUGUACACUUGCAGUUUUAUAUGUGUGUGCUUUUUAUGUAUAUUAAAAAUACUUAAAAAAUUAAAAA